AGUGCUAAACACUAUAUUCAUUACUUAUUUGGUGUGCAUUGAAUCAUUGACUGCUGCACUCACUAGCUAGUAGCUACUGUAUGUUCCUCAUGACCAAUUGAGACAUGGCUGAAAUGCAUACUGCAAUAUUUGUUUUUCAAAAGUGAUGUUGCAUUUUUGGUUAACUGGAGUCUGCAAGUAUUAGUUCACUGGAGAAAGAGCAACAACAUACUGUGAAUGUCUUAUGAUUUUGUGGUCUCUUUAGACUUUGUGGUCUCUUUUGGUAGGUGGCGAACAGGCUCCAAGCUCAUGUGCAGCUGUACAUAUUUUCUAAUUUUGAAAUUGGAGAUUGUAAUUUGUAAGAUGUUUAAUGUGCUAGUAAAAUUCUACAUCAGAUCUCGUCUCUUCGCCAGAUGUGUAAUGUGCUGCAUAAUUUCCAUUGCAGACGUAUCACCAACGGUUUCUGUUCAACUCUUGCUACCUAUUGCCUUCGAGCAACUGCAAAGAGGAGCACCAAGUCUGAUGUUUGUUCACGUCAACAACAACUUGAGUCUGAACUUGAGAGUCCGAAGCAAGGUGGUAAUCAGAAGCAAGUAGCAAAUCUUAGGUUACCAGGAUGAGUUGCAUUCUUUGAGAUUUUAAUACUGUAACAUGUAUCUGUCUGGAUUCUUGUAAUUGUGGAGUACUAUAUGGCUAUCUGAGAUUAAAUAUAAAUUAUUUGAUUUUAAAUUUGCUUUGGGCUA